CUGGGCUGCUAGCUUAACGCUAGUCACCUUUUCUUGAUCCCGACCCUCCAGCCAAUCAGCGGCUGUCAGGGACACAUGAACGGCGAUAAUAUCCGCGGAACAGCCGCUGCAGGCAGGAGGAACAAAGAAAGCCGCUCGCUGUUCGUAAGGCGUCCUUUCACUUCGUCAACACGGACGUAUACCGUGUUGGAUUAGGUCUGUGUGGGUUUUUGUUUGUCUCGUUUUGUCUUUAGCGUAAAGUCAUUCCCGUAACUAUUACAUGUUAUUCUACGUAUUAAUUCCGAGCAGUCGUUUUCACUGAGGAAAGAGAAAACUUGGCGUCGUGAGAGGUGGUUUAGUUUUUUUUUUUUUUUCGUCGGGUCGUCUUUCUCGAAACCCUCCAGCUUUGGAUGCGCUUACCGGAGGUCUGUGUGUGGAAAUAACAAAGACUUCACUGUGUGACCCUCACUCCCACCACCCCACACUGUUCCCUUUUGACCUGGCAGAGAUGCAUUUUUGUCAAGGAGUUUGCACUCAGAUGGAUUAAGAGGAGUGUUGUUUCCCCUGGUUGAAGACGGUACUUUCCAACCAGACUCUGCAUUACCA